CCGCGCCGGAAUAGAGGACUCUUAUCCUCAGGCCUCAAUCGGCCGUUCGGGCCGUGGCUGCCACGGCGGAGGCCGGCGGCCGACGGGCCAUCUCCCCCGAUCACGGAAGAAACAGGGCCGGCGGUCAAUCCCGAUCGCCGGCGCCGGAGAUUUCAAGGAAAAGAGACUCAAAAACAGAGUCUCUUUCCCGUCGGUAGAUCGGCGACAUUCGUCGCCGGCAGCCAUGCACAGGAGCAUGGGAGGAAGGAGAAGAAGGAGAGGAGGAAGAGAGGAACUUACCUCAGCCUCUUGGGACCUCGUCGGAGAGAAAACACGACGAGAACCCAACUGUGCCCGCGGCUCUUCUUCGAAAAAAUCGGAGAGAAAAAGAGGAGAAAAGAGUCGAUGGAUCGAUUCUAAAGAGAGGGGGUCUUCUUAUAGGAACUCCUAGGACUCCGAGGGGUCUUAGGAGUUCGAUUCUUGCUCGGAUUUAGCCGGAGAAGGAGACUCCUAUCGGGAGUCUUCUUCCCGGUUCUG
rnacentral:lncRNA from 1 species